rnacentral:rRNA from 1 species
UGGUGGCGAUGGCGAAGAGGUCACACCCGUUCCCAUUCCGAACACGGAAGUUAAGCUCUUCAGCGCCGAUGGUAGUUGGGGGCUUCCCCCUGCGAGAGUAGGACGUCGCCAG